rnacentral:rRNA from 1 species
GAUGAACGCUGGCGGCGUGCUUAACACAUGCAAGUCGAACGUGAGAAUAGCAAUAUUUGAAAGUGGCAAACGGGUGAGUAACACGUGGGAACCUGCCUCGAAGUGGGGGAUAACGAUUGGAAACGGUCGCUAAUACCGCACGGUUCUGCUCUGAUGGGAAUGGAGCAGAUAAAGAUUUAUCGCUUUGAGAGGGGCCCGCGGCCGAUUAGCUAGUUGGUAAGGUAAAGGCUUACCAAGGCGAUUAUCGGUAGCUGGUCUGAGAGGACGAUCAGCCACACGGGAACUGAGACACGGUCCCGACUCCUACGGGAGGCAGCAGUGGGGAAUAUUGCACAAUGGGCGAAAGCCUGAUGCAGCAACGCCGCGUGAGCGAUGAAGGCCCUUCGGUCGUAAAGCUCUGUCCUCAAGGAAGAUAAUGACGG